rnacentral:tRNA from 1 species
GCCUGGGCGGCUCAGUCGGUUGAGCACCCGACUUCGGCUCAGGUCAUGAUUCACAGUUUGUGGGUUCAAGCCCCACAUCAGGCU